GGAGUAUCAUCUUAAGAAACAAUGUUGGAAGACUCCCUCAAGAAUUGACUUGCUGAAUGUGAAACAGUGUCAAGAGUUGGAGGUUGAUGGGAAUGGUUAGCCUUAAAGAUUACGAAUGUCAAAAUCAAAUUGCAUGUGUGAAAUGCAUGCAUACACACGCAUUGCCAACUGAUGUCACAGUACAUGCUGGACAAGCCCCUCCAAAGGACAUUGUGGCUGUUCUUCGUCCAAGUUGUUUUGGUUUUUCUAGU